CAACAGACCAGAACACGUUAGGAAACAUAUUCCACUAUUCAAAGGAUAAAGCUCUUCUUUCAAAUUGUGUACUGAAGAUAUUUAGUUAGAAAAAGACUCAGUAGUAUGCCUGGAUCUAGCAGAGGACACUGAGGAGUCCCUGGAAGAUUGCGGCAACACAAGACGGAGAAGCCAGGAUCCCAAAGCACCAAGUGAAAGACUGGUCGGCAAAAAUCCAUUUGAACUGUGAUGUGAGUGAAAAACAUAUGCCUGUUGAAUUAAGUAAUGAUCAAUGCUAUGCUCUGUUUGUACUCAUAGCAGCUUCUGUUAUGCCUUUUAUUAAUACGUCUGGCUUGUUUCCUUUUGAUCUCAGGGCUAAAAUAUCCCAUUUGAAAAACCACCCAUUUUUUUUCCAGUCUUCUGCUUUGUCAAGUUAUAUCAUAGCAAGUUUUUACAAUAAAUAAAACUCUAUAGUAAAAAAU
rnacentral:lncRNA from 1 species